AAGAUCAUACUUUUAGGGAUCAUUUCUAUAGUAUGCGUCUACAAAAUGUCAACUAACCUUGACACCCACUAACGCCCGAUGAUGUGACACGGUGGCGUCUCUUGAGCAGGAAGCCGAGGUCUUGCACCUCUUUGAUGACUGCACCGCUUCGGCGGACGGAGAUGUCACGUUCUGAUGGGU
rnacentral:snoRNA from 1 species